rnacentral:lncRNA from 1 species
UUAUUUACUUCUCACAAUAUUAAUUCCUUUCGAAUACCUCUUAGCCUUAAAAAAAAAAAAAAAAAAAAAAAAAAUCUUCGGCACCUUUGUUUCGACUUCCCCUUAUUCGUCAUAAACAUUCCAACUUAACAAACCCAACCACCACAGGACAUACUAUACAAGUGCUUCUGUCUUCCGUCUAUUAGAACCCCACCUUAAGCAACCGACGCAAUUCAAGCAUUACCAGCCGCCAUUCACCGGAUCGACGUAUCACUUAGCCGGCGGCUUAGACUCGCGAUUGAAUCUCACGCUAUUCAAGGACACCUACACUAAUUAUUAAAGGUGCGGAUUCCUUCCUUUACUACCUGUAUAGUAUGGGUUUUUAACUUUGUUCGUUAAUCUUCAUUUCAAACUUCGUAUUAUGAUUUAAUUAAGUUGUACCCGUUUGAUUAAAUCCAUUACAUUUACUUGUCUAAUCCUUUCUGAUUCUGAACACAACUUUGGAACCAUAUUACAUGCGAUAUUAUCUUUAUUAAAUUGUACUCAUUAUCGCAUCCUACUGAUAAUAUGUCUGACCUGUUAUACUGGAAUAUGGAGAAAUAUAAAAAUAUUAUAUGUUUACCUUCUGUACUCUGAUACCCGAGCACGCCCCUACUUGUGGGGGUGACCGCAAGCAUGUCAUUGCGGCAUCAAUGACGUGGCACCGACUGUGACGGUGAGCCUAAAUCACAGCGUCUCGCCUGUUCUGAACUCUACGGAGGGCCGGCUAUAUAUUUUUUCGAGGCGUAUGGAUCGAUCCUAGGAUAUUAUUAUUUCUGGUGGAUGGUUUGUAUGAUGCCCAUACGCCAUCACACAUCGGUUCAGGACUAGCUAGCCUGUUCUGCCUGUUCUGUUUAUUAUAUAAAAAUAUAUCGGGCUCGAUGGGUAUAUCUUAUAACAUGGUAACGUUAUUGAAUUCUAUCAUGUUAGCAGGGAUGGCGGGAAAGUGUGAAGAGAGCUAAAAUAAACAAGUUGGAAUCUUAGUGUGUAGUUUUAAUAAUGUAUGAAAUAAAUUAUCAGGAAUAAAUCUUUUGUAAACUCGUUUGGAUAAAAAUAAAAUAAGCCCUU